rnacentral:rRNA from 1 species
AUUGAACGCUGGCGGCAGGCUUAACACAUGCAAGUCGGACGGUAACAGGGAGGAAGCUUGCUUUCUUUGCUGACGAGUGGCGGACGGGUGAGUAAUGCUUGGGAAUCUGUUUCAUGGAGGGGGAUAACUACGGGAAACUGUAGCUAAUACCGCGUAAUAUCGAGAGAUUAAAGUGUGGGACCGUAAGGCCACAUGCCAUAGAGUGAGCCCAAGUGGGAUUAGGUAGUUGGUGGGGUAAAGGCCUACCAAGCCGUCGAUCUCUAGCUGGUCUGAGAGGAUGACCAGCCACACUGGGACUGAGACACGGCCCAGACUCCUACGGGAGGCAGCAGUGGGGAAUAUUGCACAAUGGGCGCAAGCCUGAUGCAGCCAUGCCGCGUGAAUGAAGAAGGCCUUCGGGUUGUAAAGUUCUUUCGGUGGUGAGGAAGGUUGUAAUGUUAAUAGCAUUAUAAUUUGACGUUAGCCACAGAAGAAGCACCGGCUAACUCCGUGCCAGCAGCCGCGGUAAUACGGAGGGUGCGAGCGUUAAUCGGAAUAACUGGGCGUAAAGGGCACGCAGGCGGAUACUUAAGUGAGGUGUGAAAGCCCUGGGCUUAACCUAGGAAUUGCAUUUCAUACUGGGUAUCUAGAGUAUUUUAGGGAGGGGUAGAAUUCCACGUGUAGCGGUGAAAUGCGUAGAGAUGUGGAGGAAUACCGAAGGCGAAGGCAGCCCCUUGGGGGGAAUACUGACGCUCAUGUGCGAAAGCGUGGGGAGCAAACAGG